GACGAACCGUGCGAACGUUAUUCGGAAUCACUGGGCUUAAAGCGCGUGUAGGCGGCCCGGCACGUCCGUCGCUGAAAGCCCCCGGCUCAACCGGGGAACGGGCGCGGAUACGACCGGGCUGGAGGGGGGUAGGGGGCGCCGGAACGGCCGGUGGAGCGGUGAAAUGCGUAGAUAUCGGAAGGAACGCCGGUGGCGAAAGCGGUCGACUGGACCUCUUCUGACGCUGAGGCGCGAAAGCCAGGGGAGCAAACGGG
rnacentral:rRNA from 1 species